UUUGUGCAGUUUCUCCCGCAACGACCAAUAUUAAUACUUGGCAGUACGCAUCUUCAUCAAACAAGCAUCAAUAUUGCCCAAACAACCAUCAAGACGACGGCAAGCUGCAUAAAUCAUCGUCCUGCAAGUCCUCUUCGUCGGUGGGAUGGAAAUCCUGCUGCCAGUCCGCAUAGUAACCCGCGCGUCUGACAUCUGUCAAAGUAGAUUGCAAUCUUUGUUCGUGAGGGGGGGGGGGGACCCGGAAAGGGUCCGAUUACAUCGCAGCAAGGGCGCAGUACACAUCCUUCCAUCCAGUGUUCGGUCUCUGUUCUCGGUCGCUCUGUUUGAUUUGAGUAUUAUUAAUUUCCCAUCAUAAUGCCCCGAAGGCGCCCGAAUGCCAGUGUAGAGUUCUCGGCAGUAAUCCCGUACCAGUGAUGGGGAAGACUACGGCGAGUACUGGGGUGUGUGGAGCGAAGAGAUUACAAUUUGUUUCGUCGGAAUUUUUGCCAAAUUUCCCUGGAGCCAUACCCGCAUGGUGGUGGUCCGGACGAGCCCAGACGAAUCGCGUAAGCUUUCACCGCGCGUAACCCAUCCAAGUCAUCCCCUUCCAACGUUUCGUGACGCCCGGGUUACUCUGUAUCUGAAGACGUGCUUGUGUGUGUGGUUGGUUGUGUCGAAAGAACGGUAGCCCAAAUCUUGGACAGCAAUCGUGAAGUGGCAUCGGCAUUUUGGACGUAGAUGGAGUCGUGGAUAGGGGGAACCAUCCUGAAGAACUCCCCGAGGCCCUUACUUUGGCAAGUUAGUGUAUUCCAGAAAUAUUCCACAGACGUGCCUGCAGCAGUUGUGUUGCGAGACGCAGCGACAAAACCCGCCAGAUCCCGCCGUGCCGGUUUUUGGAAAUUUGUUCCUCGAAGUGGAGCUCAAGUUGUCCCGAAACUGUCAGUGCAGACCUGGUAGACUGGUGGGACCAUUGUCUCGGUCCUGCCAGGCUCAAGCGAUUUCGGAUGACAUACUUUCGAGCGUCUCGACCUCACGUUUCGUGCGUUGCUGAGCGUUCAAGUGCUCCGGCGGGAAAACGGUCGGCCCUUGUCAUUUGCCAAAGCGUCAUCAGGAGGUAUGGAGUUCGGUUUCGGGAUGUGUACCGAGCGUAACCAAAAAAAACAUUACCACACACAAACAAAAAAGACCAGUUCCUAUUGAAAACACACUCCAACAUCCAGCAGCCUGCCAAGUCGUAAGAGUCGCAAGAAAACUAAUCAGCAUAGUUUCCAAGAUGCUCCCCGUUGCUCGCUGCACAAGGGCCAGCGCAUCCGGGCAGGAAACACGAUACUUUUUUUGUUUGCUCCGAGGUGCACUACCACCAUCACCACUUCCGCUAUCGCGCCGCAAGUAAGAGCAGGGACGUGAUGGCCCAGAAAUGUCAUUAAAAUCACGUUUCUGGUACAAAUUUGCCCCCGAACCGCCCGAAAAGUGGAACGCACCUUUGCCUCUCGCCCCGGCGGCUAACGAAUGGUGAAUAGAUAUUACUUCCCUGUCGAGCGUGCCCACCGAAGACCUGGCGGUAAUAUUUUUGAACGUGAAUCAUCAUCACCCGUUUUGCGGAUGCCUUGUUAUGGAAAAAAUACGGCGGAUUAUCGGGAACAAAGAAAAAGGUAAGCACGUGUGCUACUACUGUUUUCCAACCAUUCAGGACAUACUUGCCAAAGCGUAACGUAGCGAAGAAAGUAUGUGUGCGGCAAGUGCGUUGUAAUAUUAUAGCUUCAUAAGCGUCCCGAAAGAUUCAACAACAAAAAAU